UUUGUUUAAGAUGGCGGAGCCCGGAGUAUUUGUUUAAGAUGGCGGAGCCCGGAGUAUUUGUUUAAGAUGUGCAU
rnacentral:tRNA from 1 species